rnacentral:tRNA from 1 species
GCCUGGGUGGCUCAGUCGGUUGAGCGUCUGACUUCGGCUCAGGUCAUGAUCUCGCAGUUCACGAGUUUGAGCCCUGUGUCGGGCA